CUCUAGAAAACACAGAGGGAAAUGAUCUAUCCAGGGUUCUCUGGUUAAAAAGUCACUCAUCAGAGGUAUGGCUGGAAAGAAGAACAAACUAUACUAGAAGUUUAGCAGUUAUGAGUAUGGUUGGUUAUAUUCUUGGGUUAGGUGAUCGACACC